rnacentral:sRNA from 1 species
UACAGCUGGUGUUCUGUGGAACUCUAUAUAAAGAACAUAACUCAGAGGCUUCAAGUAAACAGUUUUUCUAACUUGUCAUACAAUUCGCUGAAGCGGUCAAGAGAGUCUAGCACAUAACAGCAGCCAUGUCCAAACUACUGAUCUUGUUUGUUUACUGCCUUGUCAUUGCCUUCAGUCUGGUCAGCUCUCAACCCGUACAGGGAGGCCUCUAUCCCCAGCCCCCACCUUCUCAACCUGCUGACAACACCUUGGACGACUUUUGGCGCUUGUUUAGCACAUGGAAAAUAUUUAAACAUAUUGAUUAGACAUCACAGCACCAGCAAACAAACGGCGUUCGGCACUUUGAAAUGAUCUUCGCAACAGUUGAGGCAAUGUUCCAGAUCUCUAGGACCAUCUAGAGUCUGUCACCAGACGUGCCUUAGUACUCCAUGAUGGACGAUGGACAGUAUUUUUUUUUCUCUUUCGCACCAUGAAUGAUUUAUUAUUUGCAUCUUUGUUGUCAUUGAUUUGUAAUUAUUAUCAUAAUUUAUUAAACGUAUAUAAUGUUUUGACAGUAAA